GACGAACGCUGGCGGCGUGCCUAAUACAUGCAAGUAGAACGCACAGUUUAUACCGUAGCUUGCUACACCAUAAACUGUGAGUUGCGAACGGGUGAGUAACGCGUAGGUAACCUGCCUGGUAGCGGGGGAUAACUAUUGGAAACGAUAGCUAAUACCGCAUAAUAUUGAUUAUUGCAUGAUAAUUGAUUGAAAGAUGCUAUUGCAUCACUACCAGAUGGACCUGCGUUGUAUUAGCUAGUAGGUGAGGUAACGGCUCACCUAGGCGACGAUACAUAGCCGACCUGAGAGGGUGAUCGGCCACACUGGGACUGAGACACGGCCCAGACUCCUACGGGAGGCAGCAGUAGGGAAUCUCGGCAAUGGACGAAAGUCUGACCGAGCAACGCCGCGUGAGUGAAGAAGGUUUUCGGAUCGUAAAGCUCUGUUGUAAGAGAAGAACGGGUGUGAGAGUGGAAAGUUCACACUGUGACGGUAUCUUACCAGAAAGGGACGGCUAACUACGUG
rnacentral:rRNA from 1 species